AGAAGUCGUCGAAGGUGGAAUCAAUAACUGGGGUGAAGUCGUAACAAGGUAGCCGUAUCGGAAGGUGCGGCUGGAUCACCUCCUUUCUAAGGAGA
rnacentral:rRNA from 1 species